CAAUUUUGGAAUGAAUUCAAGAAGUUACAAAUAUAUUGUAAGUCCUGAAUAGCCGUGGUGUCUAUUUUCAAAAUUGUCUAUUCAACAGAGACUAGUAUGACUUAGUGUGCAAGUGACUUCGUAAAGAAGGUGUUGUCGAUCACUGAUAUUCCAACGACGUGUAAGAACUUUAUGGUGGAAAAGUAACUGGACGGAAUCAAAGACAUAAGGAGUUUAUAUAUAGUGAAAAAAAACCUACACUCGCCGCCUCUAUAUAAUAGAUAAUUGUAUUACAUGGUGUGAUAGGGCACUUGCCAUCGUAUUGGUAGGUGUCGUGGUUUAUAUCUCAACACUGACUUGCACGUUGCUGAUGUCACAACCUCAUGGCGGAAACGUUACUGGGAAGAAUCAAAGACAUAAGAAAGUUUAUAUUAAGUUAAAGAGCCUAUAUUGCAACCGCCUCUUUUAUUCUGUCUUUUUUUAAACUUUUUUUUAUAACACAACUUUUGCGGGACUAC
rnacentral:lncRNA from 1 species